UACGGAGGGUGCUAGCGUUGUUCGGAAUUACUGGGCGUAAAGGGCGUGUAGGCGGUCCGCAAAGUCAGAUGUGAAAGCCCUUGGCUUAACCAAGGAACUGCAUUUGAUACUGGCGGGCUAGAGUACGGGAGAGGGAGGUGGAAUUCCUGGUGUAGCGGUGAAAUGCGUAGAUAUCAGGAGGAACACCGGUGGCGAAGGCGGCCUCCUGGACCGAUACUGACGCUGAGACGCGAAAGCGUGGGUAGCAAACAGG
rnacentral:rRNA from 1 species